rnacentral:lncRNA from 1 species
UUCAAUAAACCUAUUAAAGCCUUCACCGAACAAUCUCCAUCGUGCCUCCUCCAUCUACUCGACACUGGCGAGAUAAACAGUGCCCAGUUGGCACAAAUGAAAGCCAUAAAGAAGAAUUGAAUUGAA